ensembl:lncRNA
UUUUUUUUUUUUUUUUUUUUUUUUUUUGGUCUUUUUAGGGCCGCAUCCAUGGCAUAUAGCGAUUCCCAAGCUAGGGGUCUAAUUGGAGUUGUAGCCACUGGCCUACACCACAGCCACAGCAAUGCCAGAUCUGAGCCGUGUCUGUGACCUAUACCACAGCUCAUGGCAAUGCUAGAUCCUUAACCCACAGAGUGAGGCCAGGGAUCGAACCUGCACCCUCAUGGAUGCUAGUCAGGUUUGUUAACCACUGAGCCACAAUGGGAACUCCUAUUUUCUGCAGUUUAAACAUCUUCUUUGUGCCUAUUAAUUUUGAAAAGAGGCCAGUAGCAAAAAUAACUAUCAUCUGGUUUCUCUGCACUCAUUUUCUGGCAGGACUUUUUUUAGGGCAAUAAAGAAAAUUUUCUGCGAUUGUUGGUAGAGCCAGUGCUAACUAACACAGAGAUGGACAACAAAAUAGAACACGAAGUAGGCAGUCACAUAAAGUUUUGAAGGCAAACAGAUUCUUUCCUUUCGAACAUAAAUCUCUCUAAAAGGCCCAGGGGUUGGCCUGAAGACAGACGGAGUAGACUUUUGCCCCUCAAGCCACUAGUUUACCUAAAAUAUGCUCUUAGUUGGUGACUACAGAGCUUCCCACUGGUCAGAAAAGAAAGAAGCAGAAAGGGAAGAGCAUCCCAGUCUGUGUGUUCUGCCUCCCCAGGGCGUCUUUGCAGAUAAUGAGAGUUCCAGCCCCCAGAUUUCAGCCGCCCCGCAUUUAUCAAAGAGAAAGGUGAAGAGAGUUAAGUCUGAGAUUUUGGGGUUGAAAUUGAAAUAUUUGGGGUUUUUUGGGUUUUUGUUUUUUGUUUUUUUUUUUUUGUCUUUUGUCUUUUUAGGGCCUCCCUGCGGCACAUGGAGGUUCCCAGGCUAGGGGUCCAAUCGGAGCUGUAGCCGCCGGCCUACACCAGAGCUGCAGCAACAAGGGAUCCAAGCCGCGUCUGCCAUCUACACCACAGCUCACUGCAACGCCGGAUCCUUAACCCACUGAGCAAGGCCAGGGAUCGAACCCGCAACCUCAUGGUUCCUAGUCGGAUUUAUUCACCACUGAGCCAUGACGGGAACUCCGAAAUUGAAAUAUUUAUCCCUAACUGAUUCAAAGGACAAGUUACCGUCCUUUUAUAACAAUAUUAAAAUCAGUAAAAUAUAUUCUAAGCAAAAGACAGAAAACCAGAAACCUAAAUUUUGGCAGGCCUCUCAUUUUAAUGAAUUGAAGAAGAGGAAGAUCAAACACCAGCAGAGAGAAAAACAGUUUUCAUGAAUUAUACAUUGGGAAACAGAAUACCAAAUUAUCCAUGUAUAACUAUCCAUCACUCAUGGAUCCCAGUGGAACUGCAUGCAGAUUCUGUAAGUCAUUUUCCAGCUCAGAUAUUCUAAGUUUUGAAAAGCAAAUAGUUUUAUGCCAUGGGGUAAUAAAUUUAUGAACGUUUUAUUUAAUUCUGGAUAGGAUAUUCAAAUUUUAAAUUAUAAUACCUCUACCUACCAAGGGGGUAAAAACCUCCAUAUAGAAUUUGUUUUCUUUUUCAUUUAGAAAGUAUAUCUUUGUUCAUCUAAAAUUUUCUGCAUUUUUCAUAAAAUCCUAUAAUGAAUCCAUAUGGAUUCCAACAUAAAUGUCCUGAUAAGCUGAAGAAAAAUUACAGCCUGCCGUCUUGCUCCCACAGCUUCCAGAAGUUGGGGAAUUAAUUUCAGACAAUUAAUCCUGUGAGGAAAAGUCAACUGCAUUUUGUUCAAACUGCCAGAGAACCCUCCCUGAAGCGGGUGAAGGGUCCAGGCUCUCUCCUGGCUUUUCUUCAGAGGAACUUGUGUCUGCAGGUGGUGAGUCGAGGGGCUGUGGUUGUGGGCAGACAUCACCCCAGUCCCCGGGAGCUAGAGAGAGCCCAGGACGUGCAUUUCUUCCUUACACUCCUCCAAGCAGGCAGCUCUUGAAGUUCAAAGAACUCGAGCUGUUUGGGGUCUAGGGGAAUAAAUCUGUGGAGGAAAUCUGUAUAGAGCUGGUGAUUGCCAACAACAUACACUAAAUUGGGCAGGUUGUGUGACACCUGUCUCCCUUUUCUGAACAAUAAUACGAAACAGCUCAGAAGACAGUGACACUGUGAGCAAACAGGACUGCACAGAGGGAGGGAGAGGCGAGAGAGUGAACCCUGUUCUCCUGCAGAGAUCCACCCUGGGCAGUUUCCUCUCUUGCCUCAACCUCUUCUCUGUGUCAAACAAAGUGAAAGUUCUUACAGGUUAACCAACCUUCUUAAAUCUUUCGUAGGCUCAGACCUAAAAGGAAAGGCUACAUGGAAAGAUACUUCAUAGAUUGAAUCCUAAAUUCUGGCUCAGACAUUGACAUUGGAGCAUUGGGGAUGAGGGUGGGGCUGGGUCCAGAGGGAUCGGAGGAGCGUGCUUUUAUGUUUAUGGUGUCAGGUUUUAUUUUGGUUUGUUUGUGCACCAUUGUGUUACUUCUGCACUAUUUGCACCACCAAUUUUACCUACACUCUGCAUAAAAUACAGUGCACUCUGGCCACCUGGAAAGAAUUUAUUUAUAAUCACUUUUUACAAACUCAAUAGGUUUUUUUUUUUCCUCUUGGGUUUCAAUCAUGGAACACAGACAUACAGAUUAGUGACUACGUGAAAUCAUAAAGUGUAGGGGUUGGAAACCACCUGCUCUCUGUUUUCAUUGUAUGGACAAUGGACGUUUAAGCUAAAAGUGUGGGAGUGAUUGCUAAGAGAAGGCAGGCCUCCAGACUCCCCACUGAGUGCUCCAUCUGCUCCACAAUGACCCUCUGGGACCAGACUAUCCCCUGAGUCUUCCCUCCGCCACCUCAAGGUGUAUGUGCAUGGCUAACUGGCCCUUGCCAGCAUUCACUCAUCUCAGUUCCCAAGACAACUGGUGGCAAGUACAAGCUACCGUGUUGUCUUCACUUUACAUUCUGAAUGUGCUAUGUAAACUCCUUGGGGAUUAGGCUAGUGGAUAUGUCAUGGUCCGCAAUAAGCCACAAGGAAGACCUUAAGUCACAAUCCCGAGUUCAAGAGAAACAAGUUCUCUUCUUGAGAACUGCUACACCUGUACUAAGGCCACGGCCACUCAGGGAAGUUAAGCUGUUUUCAGUCCUCAGACACAGGUAGGCUGUUUACCAAUAUUUCCCAUGGCAGACUCCCCCACCAAGCUGAAGACUGAUACUGGGUCUUCAAUUGGUCUAUCUCAAGGGCAGACGAAAUACUUCCACCACAUGCAUUUCCGGACAUAUGUACCAAGUUGUAGUACAAGGUCAGGGAAAACAAAAUGCUGUAAUGUUUAAAAUCUUGGUUCUCAAGGAGAAGGUUGAACGCACACCUUCCUUUCUAUCUGCACCACCCCAGAAAUGCCCUCCACAGAGGGGACGGUGCAGACAAGCAUUCCUUAGUUCCUCGGUGGAAAAGCCCUGUGCUCCUGAAGUUCAGGAGGAAGACAUUUACCUCCCAUGUUACCAUCAGAGGCCAAGCAAAUACACACUCACCACUGAGUAGAACUCUAAGGCACUUAGAGUUCUAGGUAGGAUCUAGUCCUGCCCCAACUCAACAACCAAAGCUCCUUCUCCUGAAUGAAGCUGCUCCAGCGACUCUCCUUAGAAAGGUCUCAAAACAGUUUGAACAAAAUUUAGCCAAAUAGAGAUCUUUGCAGCUAAAGGGAUACAUCAACUGCUAACAAGAUUCUGGAGAGAGUUCUUUCUCUCUCCUGCUUUGGUAAAGGCCUCCUGGAAGUGCAGAGCCUUCAGUUCUGCAGCAUGGGAGAGGGCAGCCCCACCCGAAGCCCACAAGCUGACUAGUCAGCUCUGAUGGGUCCAAGCUCAGGAAGCCCACAAGUCAAUUCACACAGGGCCUGGGGCUCCCAGGCUAUUUUCAAAGCAGGGUAUAGCAGAGAUGUUAAAACUCCUUUCUGACUGCUCAUUUAUAAUUCCAAUUCCUCCUGUUUUUACAAUAAUAAACCAACAGGUGUUACUGUACAGAACUACCUUCCUGGCAGCCAGAAGGCACACUCAAAAGAAACGGCACAGGACCUGCGGGGGACCUGGGUUGCCAGCACAACAGGUGGACCUGCACUCUUGAGCAGCGCAGGAGCCUCUGCGUCUCUCUCUCUAGGGUCUGUUGUGCUUUAGAGGACAAGGCCCUCCCAGCUCGGCCACACUCACCGAGCCCUCACAGACACCCCUCCCGGGCUUCCUGGAAGCGCACCUGGGGCCAGGUGUCACCGAGGCGCAGGGGUCACGCCGGGCCCUGCAGCCCCUGGCCCGGGGCCUCUCUGGCCUUCUUACAGGUGUACAGCCACUUGAUGAUACGAGCGUUCCUCUCCACCACGGAGGUGGUGCCGGACCCCUGCUCCGUCAGCUCGUCCUCCUGCAGCCCCUCGUCGCCGCCGCUGUGCCGGGAGAAGCCGCUAUCGGAGGUGGCGACGCUCACGCUGCGGACCUUGAGGGCGACGCGAUCCGACGCCGCGGAGAAGUUCUCCCUCCCCAGCGCCUCCACCACCUCGGGCUCCAAGCCGCAGUACUGGAAGAAGGUGUCGAACUCGGCCAAGGAUGCGGAGUAGCGGGAGCUGAGGUCGGACUGCGAGCGCUGCAGUCCCCGGCGCCUCGCUCCUCGCAGGGGUCCCGGGGCGAGGCCCCUCGAGCUCUGGGUCCCGGGGCGCAGCCGGGACCCUGGGGGCCGCCUCGACAGGCGGGGCGGGCUCCGGGAGCGUCGGGGGCCCNCGGGGGCCCUGGGACUGCGGGAGCCACUACGCGGCCGGGCUCAGUCCGGGCAGCCUCCUCGGCCCUGCCCUCCUCUCCCACGUGGGGCACGCCGGGGGCCGUCUUGUCCUUGACCGGUCCCUGGAAGAGCUUCUUCACCAGGCUCCCCUUAGGGCCGUCGGCUCCCGGCCCUCGGACGAACUCGCAUUUCUGCCGGUAGAUGACCAGCGAGUCUGGCCUCAGGGGCUUCCGCGCUAUGGCCCUGCGCGCCACGGGCCCGGAGACUCGGGCCGGGGGCCGAGGGUCGCCCGUCU